UAUAAGAGUAUAUUUAUAAUGGAAUAUACAAAGUAUAAUGGCAUGCCAUCAAUUUGAUGAUAAAACAUAAAAAAAAUUACCCCUUCAUGCAAGCACCUAUCAACUUAUUGAUUUCUACUAAUCAUAUGAUUUUCUGAUAAUUCAUAAGAUUCUUCAACAGCUAGCAUAUUAGUAACAAACCCAAUGAAACAAGAAAAUCCCACAUGCCAAACUCCAUGUAAUCUUUGUUGUACCCAGACUUUUUAAUGCACUCCUUUGAUUGCCCUUCUCAACUGCUGGAUCACCAUAAAUGGCAGACAAUGUCUAUGCUUUUUCUGUCUUAAUUCUCUGUUCAGCUUUGCUGCUAUUCAAAAUCAGAUUCAGGCAUUUUGUUACAUAUCUCCACCACAAAUGAAAUGACAAUACCAAGGUGCUGAAUGAGAGGUUGAGAUUUUGGUAGAGUCAAUUUCAAGGUCAGAAAUGUGCAUGAUCUUUGGCCAUUCUGGACCCACUCCAUUCUCCCUCUGGCAUCGUUUGGUCAGCAAUGGACAAUCCUUGAUAUGCAAAUGCUGGAGAGAUUCAGGAAGGCCAUCCUCUGGGAAGGAAUCAAUCAGGGGGCAAUCCUGGAUGUAAAGGUCCUUGAGUGAGGUAAGACUCUUCAGUAUGUCCUUAGGGACCAGGGAUUUCAGUCCAGCACAAGAAUUAAUGCUCAAACACUCAAGUGAAGAAGGUAGCCCUUCAGCUGGCAAUUUUACAAGCUUUGGACAUUCCUUGAUAGAGAGGAGUUUGAGAGAGCUCAAACUUCGCAAUGGUCUUUCGUCUUGUGACAAAGACAUUAGUUCCUUGCAACUGUGGAUGUACAAAGCCUUGAGCUCAGGAAGAUGAGGCCAUUUUGGAAAUGAUACCAGAUUUUCUAUGUUGGAGAUGAUGAGGGAGUAAAGAGAGCUGGUAUUGGGUACUGCCCUCAGUAAUGUUCCAUCACUAUAUGAAUCUAAUGCUAAACAUUGAAGAUGUUGCGCGUGCUCUGUUGAUGGGAGGGUAGUCAACAAUUCACAAUUGCUUAUCUCCAGUUUUUGUGGGGAAAAAUUUUGGGGUAGUCCUUUUAGCUUGGGGCAGUUUACUAUUUUUAAUUCUGCUAAUUUUGAGAGAGAAAAUCUUUCCCCUUCAGAUACUGUUACUUCAUUCCAGUCUUCCAGGCUAGGAUUAUCAACAAGCACCAAGGACUCCAGAGACGGAGUUACAGGAAGCACCUUUAAUGCAUUGCACUUUUUAAUCGUCAGAAUUUCUAGCUUAUCAAAGAUAUCAGGCAACUUUCUUAGCUUGGGACAGUCACAAAUCUUUAGCCUACGCAGGGAAGGAUAUUGCAUGUUUGGCCAUGCCUCCAACUCCUGCAAUCCUUUGACGUUGAGUGCCUCCAGAAGGGGCAACUGCCCAAGAGUGAGAGUUAUGGAUUUUGUGCAAUGUUUUAAUGCGGCAGUGACCAAAUUCUGAAGCAGUCCAUCUCUCAUCCAAGUUGGGAAUCUAGUGCCCUUGUAGUUCCAAAGUUGGAGCUCCUUGAUAUUCGAGUGAGGUAGCAAGUCUUCAAGGAUCCUUUCUUCAGCUGCUUCAUCAUAUGAACUGAAGUCUCCGUUGCUCCAUUCAAAUAUCAAUUUCUGAAGGCUCUCCUUCUCACUCAGUUUGGCCUCCUUUGCAUUAACUGCAUUUUCAAGCAUUGAAAUAUGCAAUGUUCCUCUGAGAUAUGCCAUGUCCUUCAACUCUUCAAUUCCAUAUCCAGUCUUGCAGCCAACCUGAAAUGCUGACAAAUUGUGCAAAUUGGUUAAUUUUCCCAUCCCUGGUGGCAAUGCCUUACAAUGGAACCAGAAUAUUUCAUCCAGCUCAAGGUAGUGCAGAUUAACAAGCUUCCUAAGGUCCUUGGGUAAUGCAAAAAGCCGAGGACAACCUAGCAGUUUCAGUGUUUGAAUAUUGCUCAAGUUGCAGAUUGAGUCAGGAAGCACUUUGAUUUCAGUUUUCGAGAUGUCUAGGUAACGCAACAAUUUCAUCUCUUCAAUAGAGCUUGGCAAUUCCAGGAUCAAGCUUGAACUCAGAUCCAACAUGCGAAUGUAUUUCAAUGAAUGGAACACUUUUCCAAGGGCUUGCCCAAAGUCUUUUACAUAGUCACCAGGCAAUAGAAGC
rnacentral:misc_RNA from 1 species